GGUUGAUCCUGCCAGUCAUAUAUGCUUGUCUUAAAGAUUAAGCCAUGCAUGUCCAAGUACAAACAAAUUUGUAUUGUGAAACUGCGAAUGGCUCAUUAUAUCAGUUAUAAUUCACUCAGCACUCACUUUCUACAUGGAUAACCGUGGGAAACCAGAGCUAAUACAUGCGCAAAGGGGCAGCAAUGCCUCGUAUUUAUUAGGUACAAAACCAACAUUUGGUUGAUUCACAAUAACUAUACGGAUCGCAUGGCCUUGUGCCGGCGACGGGCUGAUCAAAUUUCUGCCCUAUCAA
rnacentral:rRNA from 1 species